rnacentral:rRNA from 1 species
UACAGAGGGUGCGAGCGUUGUUCGGAAUUAUUGGGCGUAAAGCGCUGGUAGGUGGCUUGUUAAGUCGCGUGUGAAAGCUCCAGGCUCAACCUGGAAAGUGCGCGCGAAACUGGCGAGCUUGAGUGCCGGAGAGGGUCGUGGAAUUCCUGGUGUAGCGGUGAAAUGCGUAGAUAUCAGGAGGAAUACCGGUGGCGAAAGCGACUCUCUGGACGGCAACUGACGCUGAGGCACGAAAGCGUGGGGAGCAAACAGG